rnacentral:rRNA from 1 species
GGAUGCAAUCAUACUAGAACCAAUGCAUCGGAUCCCAUCAAAAUUCCGCAGUUCAGCGUGCUUGGGCGAUCCUUCUAAAAUUUGAAACUCUUAGGAAGUGCUCGUAUUACACCGC